AUCAACGCUGGCGGCGUGCCUCAGACAUGCAAGUCGAACGAGAAAGUUCCCUUCGGGGAGCGAGUAAAGUGGCGCACGGGUGAGUAACACGUAGGUAAUCUACCUUCGGGUGGGGAAUAACGCAGGGAAACUUGCGCUAACACCGCAUAAUGCAGCGGCACCACAUGGUGACAGUUGUUAAAGCGGGGGAUUUUCGGAACCUCGCGCCUGAAGAGGAGCCUGCGGCAGAUUAGCUAGUUGGUAAGGGUAACGGCUUACCAAGGCGACGAUCUGUAACCGGCCUGAGAGGGCGGUCGGUCCACACUGACACUGACAUACGGGUCAGACUCCUACGGGAGGCAGCAGUCGGGAAUUUUGGGCAAUGGGCGAAAGCCUGACCCAGCAACGCCGCGUGAAGGAUGAAAUCCCUCGGGAUGUAAACUUCGCAAGAAUAGGAAGAAUAGUACGAGGACUAAUACUGCCUCGUGAUGACGGUACCUAUUUGUAAGCUCCGGCUAACUCCGUGCCAGCAGCCGCGGUAAUACGGGGGGAGCAAGCGUUGUUCGGAUUUACUGGGCGUAAAGGGCGCGUAGGCGGUCAGCACAAGUCAGUUGUGAAAUCUCCGGGCUUAACUCGGAACGGUCAACUGAUACUGCUGCGGACUAGAGUGCAGAAGGGGCAACUGGAAUUCUCGGUGUAGCGGUGAAAUGCGUAGAUAUCGAGAGGAACACCUGCGGCGAAGGCGGGUUGCUGGGCCUGACACUGACAGCUGAUGCGCGAAAGCCAGGGGAGCGAACGGGAUUAGAUACCCCGGUAGUCCUGGCCUUAAACGAUGGAUGCUUGGUGUCUGGAGUUUUAUAGUCUCCGGGUGCCGUAGCUAACGCGUUAAGCAUCCCGCCUGGGGAGUACGGUCACAAGACUGAAACUCAAAGGAAUUGACGGGGACCCGCACAAGCGGUGGAGCAUGUGGUUCAAUUCGACGCAACGCGAAGAACCUUACCUGGGCUAGAAUGCCUGUGACACCCGUAGAGAUACGGUCUCCUAGGGAAACCUAGGCACAGUGCAAGGUGCUGCAUGGCUGUCGUCAGCUCGUGUCGUGAGAUGUUUGGUUAAGUCCAUCAACGAGCGCAACCCUUAUAGUCUGUUGUAUUUCUCAGGCUAGACUGCCCUGGCAACAGGGAGGAAGGGGGGGAUGAUGUCAGGUCAGUAUUGCCCUUACACCUGGGGCUACAAACACGCUACAAUGGCCGGUACAAAGGGCUGCCAAAGCGCAAGCUGGAGCAAAUCCCAUCAAAGCCGGUCUCAGUUCGGAUUGCAGGCUGAAACUCGCCUGCAUGAAGCUGGAAUCGCUAGUAACGGUAGGUCAGCACACUACCGUGAAUACGUUCCCGGGUCUUGUACACACCGCCCGUCAAACCAUGAAAGUCGGGGGUACCUGACGUCUUAGCUAGCCUAGGCCUAAGGUAAACUCGAUGAUUGGGGUUAAGUCGUAACAAGGUA
rnacentral:rRNA from 1 species